GACGAACGCUGGCGGCGUGCUUAACACAUGCAAGUCGAACGGAAAGGCCCUGCUUUUGUGGGGUGCUCGAGUGGCGAACGGGUGAGUAACACGUGAGUAACCUGCCCUUGACUUUGUGAUAACUUCAGGAAACUGGGGCUAAUACCGGCUAGGAGCUCCUGCUGCAUGGUGGGGGUUGGAAAGUUUCGGCGGUUGGGGAUGGACUCGGGGCUUAUCAGCUUGUUGGUUGGGUAGUGGCCUACCGAGUGUUUGACGGAUCGGCGGCCUGAGAGGUGGAACGGGCACAAGGGGACUGCGAGACGCCGCAGACGGCAACGGGAGGCAGCGGUGGGGAAUAUUGCACAGUGGGCGGGAGCGUGAGGCAGCAACGCUGCGUGUGGGAUGAAGGCCUUGGGGGGGGAAACCGCUGUCGCCUGUGACGAAGCGGGAUUGACGGUAAUGGGUAAAGAAGCACCGGCUAACUACGUG
rnacentral:rRNA from 1 species